UCCCAGGAGGUGAAAGGAUUACAGUGGGA
rnacentral:piRNA from 1 species